UACGAGAGGUGCAAGCGUUGUUCGGAAUUAUUGGGCGUAAAGCGCACGUAGGCGGAUUCGUGUGUCGAUUGUGAAAGCCCAGGGCUCAACCCUGGAAUUGCAGUCGAAACUGCGAAUCUUGAAUACUUGAUAGGGUGGGAGAAUUCCUGGUGGAGCAGUGAAAUGCGUAGAGAUCAGGAGGAAUACCGGAGGCGAAGGCGCCUGCCUGGCAAGAUAUUGACGCUGAGGUGCGAAAGCGUGGGGAGCAAACAGG
rnacentral:rRNA from 1 species